rnacentral:misc_RNA from 1 species
CACUGCAAAUGAGUUGACCUAUAAUCAGUUGCAAUGGUAAAAUAUUGCACUUUAAAUCAUGGCUACAUCACUUCAAAACUUAAAAUGCAGGAUGAUAUUAUAGAAAACCAUGCCAAAAACAAGUUUAACAUAAAAUCAAACUCAAACUAAGUACUAGAUAUUAACUCAUCCAUGAUAACAAAUAACUACAAACAACCACAAAAGUGCAAUGGAAUAGCUAGGUAACUGCAGUCACUCUUCAUGGAGCAACAACGUUUAAAACAAAACAGAACAUGCUCCAACUGCAAUUAUUGUUGGCGGAGUUCAACCUUCUUCUUUUGCCAAAGCCUGUCCAAGGCACUGUCAGCAUCACCCUGAGCUCGGACGAAACCACAGAGAGCAAAAGUGGUAAAUUGACCAGUGUAGUGGCCAUUGGCAUCCAAAUGCCCAAUGUUAAUCUGGACAGAAGCAUGAUCCUUGGAGGUGAUGAGCCUGUUUGUGGCAGAGCAUUUCCUGGGGAUGUACAGAUCCAUAUUCUGACCCUCUUCGUUCUGCAUCUUGAAUGAUUGAUUCGCUACCCAAAAAACCACUUAGCUCAAAUUACCUGAUGAAGAGGACUACAACUGCUAUAGAAG